GGCUCUCUGUGCGUCAGCAGGCGGAGGAGCAAACGGUGCGACUCGACUACUUCACGGAUCCAAGACUUCCCAACAAGAUUCACAUGCAGCUAAUUAAAGACAAGAAAGCGGCUUAAUUAGCAAAAUCAUGAUGCUCAGCUGUUGGGAGAGACCAGACAGAAUCCAGCCUCAGGGGUCGUCUGGAGGCAUGAGAGCCCUACUGCCAUCAGUGUGGGUUUCCAAGCUGCCUUGGGCUCUGUCUACUGUCGCAAAAGCUUUUAAAGAUAUUCAUUAAACAUGGACCUUCCUGCUC
rnacentral:sRNA from 1 species